rnacentral:snRNA from 1 species
AUAUUUACCUAGCAGGGGAGAUAUAAAUAUCGUGAAGAUGGGUUUCCUAGGGUGAGGAUAAUUCAUUACACUCAGGAUGUGCUAACCCUUGCAAUUUCCCCAAAUUCAGGAAACUCAACUACAUAAUUUGUGGUAAUGAGGAACUGUAUUCAUGCUCUCUCCUUA